rnacentral:lncRNA from 1 species
AUUUUUCUAAAAGUAAAAGUAUACAUUAAAUCAUAUAAACUACGCUAAUUGUAAACAUAAGACAAAGAUGGAAUUAGAGCCAUGAAUUUCAUUUAGAAAAAUGCUUCUCUUUUCGAGACAUUAAAAAGAUUAAAAUUAAAGAAUUAGAGCUAAGGGCUUUAUCCUCACUAUGCAUAUUGGUGUUGGGAAAAUAUAUGUGGAAGACCUCUAACUAUGCCUAUUGGUGUUGGUAAGGUUUGAAAUUGUUUAUUUUUCUUUAUUUUUAAUUUAAGAUACUCGGGUACUCAACUAUAUAGGUUUUUUUUUCCCCCAAAACCUUCCCUAGGCUACAACUAACCAGAGCCCAUAUAAUGGUUCCGCCAAUGGAUCUCUGACAAACUAAAAAUCUUAUGUGGUUCUAAACUUGGGUGACUAGUUGGGCACCUACAUGUGUUAUAAGUCCAGCCCAAUAUUUAAAAAAAUAAAAUAAAAAGCAAACUCUACACACAUGUUACCCAUCCAGGUGGUCCCAUAUCUUCUCUCUCAUUCUCUUUUUGACUAUGUGACUUGUUGUUUCUCUCUCUCUUUGCUACCCGACAUCAGCAACUUGUUUCUCCCUCUUUUUUUUUUUUUUUUUGUGAGUCAAAUUCUACUUCUAUUGGCUAUAUCUUCUAUUAUCUUGGAUGGGCAACUUGGCAACAACAUCUUCUCUUCUCCUUUUGUUAACAAGUAUUCUUCUCAUUCUCUCCUUUUCUAUAUAUCUUUAAUUAUAAUUAUAAUUUAAAAUUGAGUAUUCUAAGGUUUAAUUAGGGAUGAAUUAUAAUUUUUGGGAUUUUAUUGAAAUUAAUUAGGGUUUUGAUUAGGGAUGAAUUAUUCUAGGGCUUUGAUUUGGGAUUUUGUUAAAAUUGAGUAUUCUAGGGUUUAAUUGGGGAUGAAUUAUAAUUUUU